GACGGAGGGUCCUAGCGUUGUUCGGAAUUACUGGGCGUAACGGGCGCGUAGGCGGCUUGUUAAGUCGAGUGUGAAAGCCCGGGGCUCAACCCCGGAACGGCACCCGAGACUGGCAGGCUAGAGACCGGGAGAGGAGAGUGGAAUACCCAGUGUAGAGGUGAAAUUCGUAGAUAUUGGGUGGAACACCGGUGGCGAAAGCGGCUCUCUGGCCCGGAUCUGACGCUGAGGCGCGAAAGCGUGGGGAGCAAACAGG
rnacentral:rRNA from 1 species